GGGUCAGUAGGUUGGUCGUGCCACCGGUACGUACUGGUCUCACUGAUUCCUCCUUCCUGAAGAACCGUAAUGCCAUUAAUUUGGUGGUGCGGGGAAGCAGGACUGUUACUUUGAAAAAAUUAGAGUGUUUAAAGCAAGCUAACGCUUGAAUACAUUAGCAUGGAAUAAUGAAAUAGGACGAUCGGUCCCAUUUUGUUGGUUUCUAGGAUUGACGUA
rnacentral:rRNA from 1 species